UGACAAUGUCAUAUGCUGCAUCUACUUGGCAGGACUAUUUUAUAAUAAGUGAGUGCCAUCAGUGAAAUUAAUUUCAACAACAGGACUCCCAUAGGGCCCUGAGCUAAGUGUACCACAAGUUACUCUAUAAUUUAUAUUAACACAUACGGCCUGAUAACUGGCUGAAGACCUUAAGUAACUAUCAAAUUGUGCCAGAUUUGACUUCAAGAAAAGGGUUAACUGGGACUUGGAGAGGAAUUAAAAACAAAGAGAUGAAUUAGUAUGAAGAAUGAGGAUUACUGCAUCCACACAGUUAAUUAUCUGGAUUGAGAACUGAGGCUACUUGUGCCAAUAACUUUCCUAUCUGUUACUAGAAAUUCUUGCCCAGAUGGAAGGAUAACUAACUGCUCUUCCAUCAGAAGAUUAGACUACUCCCCUGGGCAAAGAGUUCACUUAACAUUUAUUGAACAAUAGUUUACUAAUCAAGACUUGCUUCAAGAUCUAAUCUGUUCUGUCAGGUACCUUGCCCAUUCUCAACCAGAUUCCUGCAUUGAAAGACCCUUCUUUAAUCACUUGAACUCAGACUUCCAAAAGACUUUAAUAUCUUCCCCUGACCAUCCCAUUCUUAAAUACAGCUAACUUUGUAAAAGUGGUAUUUCCCUUUAGUGCAGUAGAUUUAAUAAGCUUAGUUUUGUUUGAUCAUCAGGUUGUUCUGAUGGUCUUGUGAGGGAGCUGGCAGUUAACAGUCCUUUACAUAAUUCUGUUUUAAAGUACAGGAGUGUUUCUCUACUUAAGAUCUAAACUUCUUAUUUUUAAGGGCUAAUGUGGCUGCUUUAUUAUUAUGUGCACAUUUACACAUAGAAGGUGGUAUAGUAUGGUGAAAAGAUCCCUAGACUUUAGAGCAAGAAGAUACAGGUUCUACUCCUGACUGAGAAUCUCCCUGAUCUUUGGUAAAUCUCUUAGCCAUUCUCAGCCUAUUGUCUUAACCAUAAACUGAC
rnacentral:lncRNA from 1 species